CUGGGUGUAGCUCAGUCGGGUCAGAGCACUCGCCUUGGAAGCGAGAGGUCGCUGGAUCGAAGCCAGCCACCCAGACCA
rnacentral:tRNA from 1 species